rnacentral:rRNA from 1 species
UACGUAGGGUGCAAGCGUUUGUCCGGAAUUAUUGGGGCGUAAAGAGCUUGUAGGCGGUUUGUCGCGUCUGCUGUGAAAUUUCGGGGCUCAACCCCGAACUUGCAGUGGGUACGGGCAGACUAGAGUGUGGUAGGGGAGACUGGAAUUCCUGGUGUAGCGGUGAAAUGCGCAGAUAUCAGGAGGAACACCGGUGGCGAAGGCGGGUCUCUGGGCCGAUACUGACGCUGAGGAGCGAAAGCGUGGGGAGCAAACAGG